CUUAUUUCCACAGACAUAUCUAGUGAUGAGAUAGAAAUACAGUUAACAAGCCUUUCUGAGGUAGAAUAUUUCUUUACCCAGAUUCAGCCAUCUAGAUAAAAACAUUAUCUUUUUCCUAUCAGCUUCCAGUCUGGUAUGAAACAGAUAGUUUGUCCUUAUUUUUAUAUAAUCACAUAGCCAUGUAACUGCAAAAAGUGGUUUGCUUUCAUUUAGUAUCCGAAACUAGAGAACAAGAGACCCUGCUCUGCAGAGAACAGGCAUGAGGAGAUGCAAGAUGAUUUUCUGGGACAGAUGAUAAAACACUAGCCUGAUGCAAUCCAACACCUCAAAAUGAUCAAAUAUUCGUUCAGUGAAGUCUUCCUGACAGAGAAGAAGGAGACUGGCUCUUCCAGCCUCACAUUUGCAUUGCUUUGGGGAAGGGAAUUAGCCAGCUGAAAAGACUGCACCACCUGAGCCCGGUGGAGCUGCACAAAGCAUUGGCUGCUUCACCUGGGGGAAAUCUUAGAAAUGGAGGUGCCCCAGUAGAGGAUUUGCAGGCCACACAUGGCUUGUCAAGCAAUGCUGGUGACUCAGAGGAGGUUAAUGUAAUAAUUUGCAUUGCUGAAGAAGAUGGAAAGAGGAGACGGACACGAAGAUGUACCGAUGCAGAGAGUGAGAAGAAUUUGCAGCUGGAGGAGCUGAUUUCUGAGGCCAAGACCAUACCAGCAGCGGGGGAGAAGGUGGAGCACCACCCACUGUCCGUAGAGCUCGUCAGAGCAACAAGCCAGCUUGCCACCCCAGCAGUGACCACGUUCCCAGCUGUGUAUCGUUCUUGCUUCAGCUGACAAAUGCUUUGAAACCGAUAGGUGUUGUUGCCCUUUGAAGCAAAUGUGCUCAGCAGCCUUGAUCCCUUUGUGGAACCUACAAGACACAUUCUUGCUGCGUAUCAGGACCAGAGCUGGGUGAGUGCUGUUACCUAUCUCCCAGCAACAUGCGGUAUCCUUUGUUCUCUAAUAGUUCC
rnacentral:lncRNA from 1 species